UGGGGAAUAUUGCACAAUGGAGGGAACUCUGAUGCAGCAACGCCGCGUGCGGGAUGACGGCCUUCGGGUUGUAAACCGCUUUCAGCCAUGACGAAGCUUAUGUGACGGUAGUGGUAGAAGAAGCACCGGCUAACUACGUGCCAGCAGCCGCGGUGAUACGUAGGGUGCGAGCGUUGUCCGGAAUUAUUGGGCGUAAAGAGCUUGUAGGCGGUUUGUCGCGUCGAUAGUGUAAACACGCAGCUUAACUGUGUGCCUGCUGUCGAUACGGGCUGACUAGAGGAGGGUAGGGGAGAAUGGAAUUCCCGGUGGAGCGGUGGAAUGCGCAGAUAUCGGGAGGAACACCAGUGGCGAAGGCGGUUCUCUGGACCUUUCCUGACGCUGAGAAGCGAAAGCGUGGGUAGCAAACAGG
rnacentral:rRNA from 1 species